rnacentral:rRNA from 1 species
GUCAUAGUGAUCCGGUGGUUCUGUAUGGAAGGGCCAUCGCUCAACGGAUAAAAGGUACUCUGGGGAUAACAGGCUGAUACCGCCCAAGAGUUCAUAUCGACGGCGGUGUUUGGCACCUCGAUGUCGGCUCAUCUCAUCCUGGGGCUGAAGCAGGUCCCAAGGGUAUGGCUGUUCGCCAUUUAAAGAGGUACGCGAGCUGGGUUUAGAACGUCGUGAGACAGUUCGGUCCCUAUCUACCGUGGGCGCUGGAAAUUUGAGAGGAUCUGCUCCUAGUACGAGAGGACCAGAGUGGACGAACCUCUGGUGUACCGGUUGUGACGCCAGUCGCAUCGCCGGGUAGCUAUGUUCGGAAGGGAUAACCGCUGAAAGCAUCUAAGCGGGAAGCCUACCUCAAGAUAAGAUUUCCCUAGGAAUUUAUUCCUCUAAAGAGCCGUUCGAGACUAGGACGUUGAUAGGUUGGAUGUGGAAGCAUAGUGAUAUGUGAAGCUGACCAAUACUAAUUGCUCGUGAGGCUUGACUAUACAACACCCAAGCAGUUG